UCCCUCCCGAGUGGAUCCUGAGUACGGCGGGACACGAGAAAUCCCGUCGGAAUCCGGGAGGACCAUCUCCCAAGGCUAAAUACUCCCUAGUGACCGAUAGUGAACCAGUACCGUGAGGGAAAGGUGAAAAGCACCCCGGGAGGGGAGUGAAAUAGAACCUGAAACCGUGUGCCUACAAGUAGUCAGAGCACAAUAAGUGUGAUGGCGUGCCUUUUGUAGAAUGAACCGGCGAGUUGCGAUUUCAUGCAAGGUUAAGUUGAAAAGACGGAGCCGCAGCGAAAGCGAGUCUGAAUAGGGCGCAAGAGUAUGAGGUCGCAGACCCGAAACCAGGUGAUCUACCCAUGUCCAGGGUGAAGGUCAGGUAACACUGACUGGAGGCCCGAACCCACGUAUGUUGAAAAAUGCGGGGAUGAGGUGUGGGUAGGGGUGAAAUUCCAAUCGAACCUGGAGAUAGCUGGUUCUCUCCGAAAUAGCUUUAGGGCUAGCCUCAAGGUGAGAGUAUUGGAGGUAGAGCACUGUUUGGACGAGGGGCCCUCAUCGGGUUACCGACUUCAGACAAACUCCGAAUGCCAAAUACUUAUCCUUGGGAGUCAGACUGCGAGUGAUAAGAUCCGUAGUCGAGAGGGAAACAACCCAGACCACCAGCUAAGGUCCCCAAGUAUACGUUAAGUGGAAAAGGAUGUGGAGUUGCUUAGACAACCAGGAUGUUGGCUUAGAAGCAGCCACCAUUCAAAGAGUGCGUAAUAGCUCACUGGUCGAGUGACUCUGCGCCGAAAAUGUACCGGGGCUAAACGUAUCACCGAAGCUGUGGAUUGCAAUAGCAAUGGUAGGAGAGCGUUCCAAGCGCGGCGAAGUCGUCUUGAAAGAGGCGGUGGAGUGCUUGGAAGUGAGAAUGCCGGUAUGAGUAGCGAAAGAAGGGUGAGAAUCCCUUCCACCGAAAGCCUAAGGUUUCCUGAGGAAGGCUCGUCCGCUCAGGGUAAGUCGGGACCUAAGCCGAGGCCGAAAGGCGUAGGCGAUGGAUAACAGGUUGAGAUUCCUGUACCGCCUCAUUGCCGUUUGAGUGAUGGAGGGACGCAGGAGGAUAAGGCAAGCGCGCAGCUGGAAAAGCGCGUCCAAGCAGUAAGGCCGGUAAGUAGGCAAAUCCGCUUACCGUGUAGGCUGAGCUGUGAUGGCGAGGGAAAAAAAGUACCGAAGUUCCUGAUUCCACACUGCCGAGAAAAGCUUCUAGCGAGGCAAUAGGCGCCCGUACCGCAAACCGACACAGGUAGGCGAGGAGAGAAUCCUAAGGUGAGCGAGAGAACUCUCGUUAAGGAACUCGGCAAAAUGACCCCGUAACUUCGGGAGAAGGGGUGCUUUUUAGGGUGAAUAGCCCUGAGAAGCCGCAGUGAAUAGGCCCAGGCGACUGUUUAGCAAAAACACAGGUCUCUGCGAAGCCGCAAGGCGAAGUAUAGGGGCUGACGCCUGCCCGGUGCUGGAAGGUUAAGAGGAGAGGUCAGCUUAGGCGAAGCUUCGAAUUGAAGCCCCAGUAAACGGCGGCCGUAACUAUAACGGUCCUAAGGUAGCGAAAUUCCUUGUCGGGUAAGUUCCGACCCGCACGAAAGGCGCAACGAUCUGGGCACUGUCUCAACGAGAGACUCGGUGAAAUUAUAGUACCUGUGAAGAUGCAGGUUACC
rnacentral:rRNA from 1 species